rnacentral:rRNA from 1 species
UACGUAGGGUGCGAGCGUUGUCCGGAAUUACUGGGCGUAAAGAGCUCGUAGGUGGUUUGUCGCGUUGUCCGUGAAAACUCACAGCUCAACUGUGGGCGUGCGGGCGAUACGGGCAGACUGGAGUACUGCAGGGGAGACUGGAAUUCCUGGUGUAGCGGUGGAAUGCGCAGAUAUCAGGAGGAACACCGAUGGCGAAGGCAGGUCUCUGGGCUGUAACUGACGCUGAGGAGCGAAAGCAUGGGGAGCGAACAGG